rnacentral:rRNA from 1 species
GUGGAUCCUGUGAACUGCAGGACACAUGAACACCGACAAGUUGAACGCAUAUUGCACAUCGUACCACAGUACGAUGUACACAUUUUUGAGUGCCUAUAUUUAUCGAUACAACUAUACGUGUGUGUGCGCGUCCCACUGCGGGGUGGACAGGUGCACGGCCCAUGGCACAUAUGCAUAGUGAUGUUUUCCCUCCCGCCCCGGUCACGCGGUAAAACAUUUAAGAUAGUCAUCCGCCUGUACACUGUGUAAGGAAAAUAAAUCCUUCCCCCACCCGGCUCGGUGGCGGCGUGGCUUUUUCCAUUUCCAUCAUCAUCGACCACCAUACCCAGUAGGCCUCAAAUAAUGUGUGACUACCCCCAAAAUUUAAGAAUAUCGACAC